rnacentral:rRNA from 1 species
UACGUAGGUGGCAAGCGUUACUCGGAAUCACUAGGCGUAAAGCGCAGGUAGGUGGUUUGGUAAGUCUUUUGUGAAAGCUCCUGGCUCAACUGGGAGAGGUCAAAGGAAACUACCAGGCUAGAGUUUGGUAGGGGAGACUGGAAUUCCUGGUGUAGCGGUGAAAUGCGUAGAUAUCAGGAGGAAUACCUAUGGCGAAAGCAGGUCUCUGGGCCACAACUGACACUGAGCUGCGAAAGCUAGGGGAGCAAACAGG